rnacentral:rRNA from 1 species
CCCCUAGAUGUUCUGGGCCGCACGCGCGCUACACUGAACAGUUCAACAAGUCUUAACCUUGGCCGAUAGGUCUGGGUAAUCUUUGAACGCUGUUCGUGAUUGGGAUAGAUCCUUGCAAUUUUUGAUCUUCAACGAGGAAUUCCUAGUAAAUGCGAGUCAUCAUCUCGCGUUGAUUACGUCCCUGCCCUUUGUACACACCGCCCGUCGCACCUACCGAUUGAAUGGUCCGGUGAAGCCUCGGGAUUGCGAAUGCUUCGUGCGGACGCGAGAACUUGGCUAAACCUUACCAUUUAGAGGAAGGUGAAGUCGUAACA